rnacentral:misc_RNA from 1 species
UAGAAACAAGGCGGCCGCUAUCAAGUCCCCCCUCAUAAUCGAAGCACGCGAAACUAGACGCAAAGACGCACACAAACGAAGCGGCAGAUACUCCCACACGCGGCCGCAGGACCCCAGCGCUGCUCUCCGUCUUGUCGGUGCUCCACAGAGAUUUGCCCACAGCUACUCAGAUUCUUUUCAGUGUCGGUCUUUCAUCCUCAACAUCACCUGCCAACUCCACCUCUGACAGGCUCUCGUUUUUGUUUUUGGUGCUCCUCGUGCCGCCUACUGUGCGUGUGGUGGAGUAAGCGUGCACACCCAGUCCCUCCUCUUUCACUUGCUCUUCUCUCGCGCUGCCUCCAGUGUACGUGGUUUGCGUGUGUUGCUCGACGCACUUGGACCGGCAUCCGGCUUCUCUCCGCUCAUCAUAUCACCUUGGGGCUCGCAGAGUGUGACGGAGGAGAGUGCACGAGAGAGGCGCGCGCACAAAUCGACCAGACGGAACCGCUACAUUAUUGAGCACGUAGACGUUCGCGUUUGCACACGCACACACACACGCCCACACAUAUACACUCACAUACCGUUGUGCGUGUGCAUAUAUACAUGUUUACAUUCUGCCGUUGCUUAGAACGCGAACGUGUUUUCUCUCUUCUUCACCCUCACUACAUUUGUCUUUGCUUCUCGCUGGCUUUACUAGAUCAUCCUGGUUCUUUCUUCUUAAUUCCUCCACGCAAACCCCUUCGACCGCCUCUCCCCAUCCUGUUGAAUCGCUGCUCUCCAACGCCCGCCGCACAGUUGAGCACACGCGCACACCCCAUCGUGCUCCCUUAGAGUUACCCGUGUGGGCGCUAUUGGGCAGAUCUGCGCUGGAGGCUUCCUUUCCUUUUUGUGCUCGUCCUGUGUCUGGCCGCCGCUGGCCUUCUUCUGUUGGUCUUUCUUCCCACUUUUGCACACUACUUACUCUAACCACUCGACAGUGCCACGGUUAUCGCGAGACAGAGAGUCGAAGAGAGCGUCACCAUCACUGCUGCGCCGCAGUUGGGCUUUCUUUCCGUGCACCUUCCUUUCCCCAUCCGUCGCGUCUUUGUGCUCGUGUUGUAUUGUGUAGGUGCGCUUCCGUGGUCGUCGCAGCUCCCAGUGCAUUGAGACAGGCUUGCUGCGUUUGCCGUCUACACCGACACAUAACGGGAUUUGGACGGACGUAGACACCCACAGUCGUGCAGAAGAAAUCGCGCUGACCAUGCAGCAGUGGACGCUUGAUUGCAACUCUGAGUCACCUGAAAGUAGCGGUCGGCCGUCCGCGCUUUCGCGCGAGGCGAGGCUGUUCAAGGCGGAGGGGCGAUCGGCUCGCCGCAGCACCCGUACCGAACAUCGCCGCGCGUCGCGAGAGGCCUUUCCUACAGAGCCGCUCUCGACACCGUACCGCAAUGACAAGGGGGACGACGAGGACGAGGAGGGCCGCCGUAGCGCACCGCAUCGGCUCUCGCGUCACAUCCCUCAGCGGGUGGGCAUUGACAUGACGGUUUCGUCGUUCAACCUCAUGUCGUCCACGGCAUGCGGGGCUCAGACAUCAACGGGCUCACCGCUCCGUAUGGGCUGCUGCGGCGGUCGAGACUACGGUCGCAACCCUUAUGGCACUGCAGCUACCGCCGGUCGCCACGUAACUCCAGGGCCCGCUCCUGUAGUUUCUGCCACCGCUACCAAUGCGAACGGAUAUGCCGCAACGGCGGCCCCCACACCCCCCUCUAGCGUCCUCACCAGCUUCUCCGAGUCCAUGGUGUCGGACGACUCCUCUUACAUGACGUCGCUCUACAACGAUGUGCUGGCAGACCAUCUCAUCGGCCAUCGCGGUGGCGUGAUGGCAGCCACGAACAGCGGCACCGCAGACGGUUCCGGCACAAUCGCCUACGCUCGGACCCUUACGACGCCAGUGCCGAACCUGAGUGUUUGUGAGUCGAGCGCCGCUAUGCCAGACGAAAGAGGCGUCGCCAGCCCCGGCAACGACGAGUGUGGAAGCGGCUGGCGGGCUAGUGCGGACGGUCUAGUCAGCUCUGCGCGCAGAGGACUUGGCGGCGAGGUGCUGCGGUUUGCAGACAACACCUCCACUGAGGUGACUCCGCGAUCGUUGGGUGUGGUCAGUCCGACAGAUGCCUCCUCGCUUCGUCUCGCCACCCUCUCAGCCAAGGGCCCCACAAGAGGGGUAGGCAGCACGGCCGUCGCCACAUCCGUCGGGGCGGGUCUCUCCUCGGCGUUGCCACGCGUGCGCUCUCGCACGAUCUACACAUCCGGCAGCAGCAGCCGGGGCGUCUGUGGAGCCCGCGUCUUCAACACCACCCCCGAGCGUGUUCUGGAUGCCCCACAGUUUCCAUCCAAGGCGACGCAGUUGCUGGACUGGGGCGCCAACAACUGCAUCGCGAUCGGAAUGGGCAAGUCCCUGUACUCGUGGAGCGGUGAUAGCGGCGAAGCCGAAAAGGUGGUGGAGCUCGACGGCGCCAUGCGCAUCCGCUGCGUUCAAUGGCUGCAGAAGUGCUCCUGCGUGGCAAUGAGUGUGCAGGACGGCACCACAGCGAUUUACGACUUCCGCACAUCGAGCUUCCUGCGUGUCGUGCGCCUCCCGUCUGGACUGGAGGUGACGGGGCUAUCCGUGAAAGGUCCGAUGCUGGCGGUGGCCUCAGGAGGGCCUUAUGGCACUACCUGCGCCUUCGACCUCCGCGCUAAGGACGCUCUGGUGGCCACCUACGAAGGCCACGUGGGUGGCGUGACGAACCUGCACUACUGCGCCGCAGAGCCUUUCUACCUCGCGACAGGAGGAAGUGAUGGAUCGGUGCGCGUGUGGGACGUCCGACGUGCCUCCACACCGCGCUACGCGUUCGACGGCGUUCACCAGGGAAGCGUCAACGCCGCCCGCUGGGAUCCACAGAAGCGCAGCCGCCUCUUCACCGGCGGUGAAGACGGCGUUAUGUGCCUCAUAGACACCCACGCCCCAAAGCGCACCAUCGAGAUGGACACCACGGCCGAUGAAGAGGGUAUCGGGUUCGGCUGCAAUCGCGAACAUCUGGCUCAGUACCUCACACGCGCCGUCAACACCCAGCACCCCAUCUCUGACCUGGUAUGCAACGGCGCACAUGGCGAGGUGCUAACAGCACAUAAAAACAAGGGGCAACUGCAACUCCGAAAGGCGUCCACGUUCCACCUCCUCGCCACCUUCACUGCGCCCCACUGCGAUGCCUCGCUGAGCUGCCUCACCAUGGCCCCGGACCAGGAGCGCGUCUGUGCGGCCCAGGCAGAUGAGACAUUGAAGUUCUGGCGCGUUUUCGAAAAGAGUGCCGCUCGUGGUGGUGAGCGCAGCGGCGAUCGGCGUGUAGUUCAGGGAUGGACGCCACCUCAUCAGGAUCCCAGUAACUUUUUGGAGGAGCCGCUAAGGUGACCGAUCGCUCUAACGCGCGUGAGCCCCCGUUUCUUUCCCUUUCCUCACUUUCGUUCCCUUUGCUCGCCGGCGUGUACGCGUGUCGUCGUAUCUAUCCGCUGAGACCUUGUAGGAAUCGCGCCGCAUUCGAUUUUGGCCGGGCCAUCUCCCCUGCUUUCUUUCCUCCCUCUGCCUUUCCUUGAGCCUCGAUGUUGCGUGUCCCGCCGUUGAAGCUAUCAAGGACGCAAUACGGAGCGUACCUCACCUCCGCACGAUCCUCUACGAUAGCACUGCGUGAUCCUCCCCGCGCCCUUACCCAGGUCCGCAUAGGAUAUUCUCUCCCACUCUCUGCCUGUGUGUACUUUUAGCGUCCUUUCCUCUUGUAUGCUUCUCUACCUAGCCACACUCAUUACUACGCGCCCCGAACGUCCCAUGUCCUUGACGAUGCCCGAUGCAUCAGCGAUGAGGCGCAUACUCCGCUCCCGAAGCAUUAUCGAUGUGCGCGCUGCCCAGGAAACGAAUCUGGCACAUGCUGCCUUCGGCACUCGUUACACUAUGCACUCCAUUGACCCUGCUAGAGGGGUAUCGAUGUUUUCCUCAGAUAUUCCGUCAAAAUUCGCUAGGAACCCACACACUCGCGAUUCCCUUUCAUCCACCACUCCCGACUCUUUCUCCUUCAUGCCGCACCACCCACCUUCACUUACUUAUACCGCCUUCUAAACUCUCUACACCGCCUCCCCUCAACCACACUCGCACGUUUCGCUUGAUCAUCGACUCCCCCCUCCCCCCACACACACACCGCGAUAG